UACGGAGACUGCAAGCGUUAUUCGGAUUCACUGGGCGUAAAGGGUGCGCAGGCGGCCGUGUGUGUCAGGUGUGAAAGCCCGGGGCUUAACCCCGGAAUUGCGCCUGAAACUACAUGGCUAGAGCAUUGGAGAGGGUAGCGGAAUUCACGGUGUAGCAGUGAAAUGCGUAGAUAUCGUGAGGAACACCAGAGGCGAAGGCGGCUACCUGGACAAUUGCUGACGCUCAGGCACGAAAGCGUGGGGAGCAAAAGGG
rnacentral:rRNA from 1 species